UUAAGCAUAUCAAUAAGCGGAGGAAAAGAAACCAACAGGGAUUGCCCUAGUAACGGCGAGUGAAGCGGCAACAGCUCAAAUUUGAAAUCUGGCUCUCGGGCCCGAGUUGUAAUUUGUAGAGGAUACUUUUGAUGCGGUGCCUUCCGAGUUCCCUGGAACGGGACGCCAUAGAGGGUGAGAGCCCCGUCUGGUUGGAUGCCAAAUCUCUGUAAAGUUCCUUCGACGAGUCGAGUAGUUUGGGAAUGCUGCUCUAAAUGGGAGGUAUAUGUCUUCUAAAGCUAAAUACCGGCCAGAGACCGAUAGCGCACAAGUAGAGUGAUCGAAAGAUGAAAAGCACUUUGAAAAGAGAGUUAAAAAGUACGUGAAAUUGUUGAAAGGGAAGCGUUUAUGACCAGACUUGGGCUUGGUUAAUCAUCUGGGGUUCUCCCCAGUGCACUUUUCCAGUCCAGGCCAGCAUCAGUUUUCCCCGGGGGAUAAAGACUUCGGGAAUGUGGCUCUCUUCGGGGAGUGUUAUAGCCCGUUGUGUAAUACCCUGGGGGGGACUGAGGUUCGCGCAUCUGCAAGGAUGCUGGCGUAAUGGUCAUCAACGACCCGUCUUGAAACACGGACCAAGGAGUCGUCUUCGUAUGCGAGUGUUCGGGUGUCAAACCCCUACGCGUAAUGAAAGUGAACGCAGGUGAGAGCUUCGGCGCAUCAUCGACCGAUCCUGAUGUUCUCGGAUGGAUUUGAGUAAGAGCAUACGGGGCCGGACCCGAAAGAAGGUGAACUAUGCCUGUAUAGGGUGAAGCCAGAGGAAACUCUGGUGGAGGCUCGCAGCGGUUCUGACGUGCAAAUCGAUCGUCAAAUAUGGGCAU
rnacentral:rRNA from 1 species